rnacentral:lncRNA from 1 species
UGAGUAUAUGCUAUUGAAAACAUAAAGUAGCUAGUUCGUGCUUUCGAUUUUUUAGCCCUUAGAUCAAUCUCAUUGAUCAUUUCUAACCAUUGGAUUAACAUUAUUAAUCAAUGAGGACCACUCAACCCUAAGGGACCACUCAACCCUAAGGGGACCGCUAUCAUUCCAACCGUAGAAUUUAUGAUCCAAGGACUAAAAAAUCGGAAGCACCAACUACUUUAUACUUCCGAUAGUAUAGUAGCUCUACACUAUAUAUAUUUACUAAACAGUGGAAAACUCGAUAGCACCAAAUGUUUGGUGCUAUCAAUAAUAUCACAGCCGGACUCUCUCUCUCUCU